UGUUUCGGCUAGGGGGCCAUCCCGGCUUACCAACCCGAUGCAAACUGCGAAUACCGGAGAAUGUUAUCACGGGAGACACACGGCGGGUGCUAACGUCCGUCGUGAAGAGGGAAACAACCCAGACCGCCAGCUAAGGUCCCAAAGUCAUGGUUAAGUGGGAAACGAUGUGGGAAGGCCCAGACAGCCAGGAUGUUGGCUUAGAAGCAGCCAUCAUUUAAAGAAAGCGUAAUAGCUCACUGGUCGAGUCGGCCUGCGCGGAAGAUGUAACGGGGCUAAACCAUGCACCGAAGCUGCGGCAGCGACGCUUAUGCGU
rnacentral:rRNA from 1 species